GACAGAGGGUGCAAACGUUGUUCGGAAUUACUGGGCGUAAAGCGCGUGUAGGCGGCUUGGCAAGUCGGGUGUGAAAGCCCUGGGCUCAACCCAGGAAGUGCACUCGAAACUGCUUCGCUCGAGUAUCGGAGAGGAAAGCGGAAUUCUCGGUGUAGAGGUGAAAUUCGUAGAUAUCGAGAGGAACACCGGUGGCGAAGGCGGCCUUCUGGACAGCCACUGACGCUGAGACGCGAAAGCGUGGGGAGCAAACAGG
rnacentral:rRNA from 1 species